rnacentral:rRNA from 1 species
AGCAUAUCAAUAAGCGGAGGAAAAGAAACCAACAGGGAUUGCCCUAGUAACGGCGAGUGAAGCGGCAACAGCUCAAAUUUGAAAUCUGGCGUCUUUGGCGUCCGAGUUGUAAUUUGCAGAGGGCGCUUUGGCAUUGGCAGCGGUCCAAGUUCCUUGGAACAGGACGUCACAGAGGGUGAGAAUCCCGUACGUGGUCGCUAGCCUUUACCGUGUAAAGCCCCUUCGACGAGUCGAGUUGUUUGGGAAUGCAGCUCUAAAUGGGAGGUAAAUUUCUUCUAAAGCUAAAUACUGGCCAGAGACCGAUAGCGCACAAGUAGAGUGAUCGAAAGAUGAAAAGCACUUUGGAAAGAGAGUUAAAAAGCACGUGAAAUUGUUGAAAGGGAAGCGCUUGCAGCCAGACUUGCCUGUAGUUGCUCAUCCGGGUUUCUACCCGGUGCACUCUUCUAUAGGCAGGCCAGCAUCAGUUUGGGCGGUUGGAUAAAGGUCUCUGUCAUGUACCUCCUUUCGGGGAGAACUUAUAGGGGAGACGACAUGCAACCAGCCUGGACUGAGGUCCGCGCAUCUGCUAGGAUGCUGGCGUAAUGGCUGUAAGCGGCCCGUCUUGAAACACGGACCAAGGAGUCUAACAUCUAUGCGAGUGUUUGGGUGUCAAGCCCGAGCGCGUAAUGAAAGUGAACGGAGGUGGGAACCUUUCGGGGUGCACCAUCGACCGAUCCUGAUGUCUUCGGAUGGAUUUGAGUAAGAGCAUAGCUGUUGGGACCCGAAAGAUGGUGAACUAUGCUUGAAUAGGGUGAAGCCAGAGGAAACUCUGGUGGAGGCUCGCAGCGGUUCUGACGUGCAAAUCGAUCGUCAAAUUUGGGCAUAGGGGCGAAAGACUAAUCGAACUAUCUAGUAGCUGGUUCCUGCGAGU